UACGUAUGGUGCAAGCGUUAUCCGGAUUUACUGGGUGUAAAGGGAGCGCAGGCGGCACGGCGAGCCUGAUGUGAAAGCCCGCGGCCCAACCGCGGGACUGCAUUGGGAACUACCGGGCUGGAGUGCCGGAGAGGUAGGCGGAAUUCCUAGUGUAGCGGUGAAAUGCGUAGAUAUUAGGAGGAACACCAGUGGCGAAGGCGGCCUACUGGACGGUGACUGACGCUGAGGCUCGAAAGCGUGGGGAGCAAACAGG
rnacentral:rRNA from 1 species